rnacentral:rRNA from 1 species
AAACCGGAGGAAGGUGGGGAUGACGUCAAGUCCUCACUGGCCUUUAUGACCAGGGCUACACACGUACUACAAUGGCCGGUACAAAGGGCAGCCACUUAGCGAUAAGGAGCCAAUACCCGUAAAGCCGGUCUCAGUCCGGAUUGGAGUCUGCAACUCGACUCCAUGAAGUUGGAAUCGCUAGUAAUCGCAGAUCAGCACGCUGCGGUGAAUACGUUCCCGGGCCUU